rnacentral:rRNA from 1 species
CGAGCGGGGUUUUCGGACCUAGCGGCGGACGGGUGAGUAAUGCGUAGGAAGCUGCCCGAUAGAGGGGGAUACCAGUUGGAAACGACUGUUAAUACCGCAUAAUGUCUACGGACCAAAGUGUGGGACCUUCGGGCCACAUGCUAUCGGAUGCGCCUACGUGGGAUUAGCUAGUUGGUGAGGUAAUGGCUCACCAAGGCGACGAUCUCUAGCUGGUUUGAGAGGAUGAUCAGCCACACUGGAACUGAGACACGGUCCAGACUCCUACGGGAGGCAGCAGUGGGGAAUAUUGCACAAUGGGCGCAAGCCUGA